UCUGGUAUAUGAUCUUGUUUAUGAACUCUGAUUUUAUUAUUGUUAGUUUGGCUUACAUAAUUAACUGUUUGACAGGUAAUAUUUUCAUAUCUCGAACCUCAAUCCCAAAUGCUGCCUCUGAAGAAGGAGACGAAGAUGAUUGGGCAUCCAACAAAGUUAUAUUUAAAAUAGGUGAUCUUGGGCACGUAACAAGGAUCUCCAGUCCACAAGUUGAAGAGGGCGAUAGUCGUUUUCUUGCAAAUGAAGUUUUACAGGAGAAUUAUACCCAUCUACCAAAAGCAGAUAUUUUUGCGCUUGCCCUCACAGUGGUAUGUGCUGCUGGUGCUGAACCUCUUCCGAGAAAUGGAGAUCAAUGGCAUGAAAUCAGACAGGGUAGAUUACCUCGGAUACCACAAGUGCUUUCCCAAGAAUUUACAGAGUUGCUAAAAGUUAUGAUUCAUCCAGAUCCAGAGAGAAGACCUUCAGCAAUGGCACUGGUAAAGCAUUCAGUAUUGCUUUCCGCUUCUAGAAAGAGUGCAGAACAAUUACGAAUAGAAUUGAAUGCUGAAAAGUUCAAAAAUUCACUUUUACAAAAAGAACUGA
rnacentral:sRNA from 1 species